UACGUAGGGUGCGAGCGUUGUCCGGAAUUACUGGGCGUAAAGAGCUCGUAGGCGGUUUGUCGCGUCGGCCGUGAAAUCUCCACGCUUAACGUGGAGCGUGCGGUCGAUACGGGCAGACUUGAGUUCGGUAGGGGAGACUGGAAUUUACGGUGUAGCGGUGAAAUGCGUAGAUAUCGUAAGGAAGACCAGUGGCGAAGGCGGGUCUCUGGACAGCUACUGACACUGAGGCACGAAGGCCAGGGGAGCAAACGGG
rnacentral:rRNA from 1 species